rnacentral:lncRNA from 1 species
GAGAUCCGUUGAGCCUUAUGAUCUACGGAAUUAAAUUUGUCAUAUAGAUUACAUUUUAUUGUCUAAAAGUUUAUUCAUGUAUGGCUGCAUUUUUUUUAUGAAAGUCUAACUCUGAGCAACCUCCUUGAGGUAGGAGAACAGCUCAAGCGGUCUAGAGAACAUCACCAUGUGAUCAGAACCAUUGAUCCAUAUGACUUCAUUCGGCGGAUUCUUAUUGAUCAUCAACAUUUGCAAUUUCUCAGUUAUUACAUGGUCUUGGUCGCACCCGAUGAAUACUCUACGAACCGAUCCAUAUUUCUCUUUAGUGAGUUUUAUAUCAUCACUAAAGAGAGGAGAGAAUCUCACCAAGGACAAUGCUAGUGUUAAAUCCUGUUCGUUGAUACAUCACCAACCAAGAAAGAAAAGAGAAAGAUGAACAAUAUUAGUUAAAAGUACAAGUGCAUAAAAUCAAAUUUUACUUUUCCUCCUUUUGUAAAGACAUACCUCUGGUGGUGAGAGUUGGUACAUUGACGACGACAAUAACUUUGGCCCAAUAAGCGUGGCCGUAGGAGGAUUGUUGGGUCCCCGAUCAUAUCUAAACUGACUGUCCAUAAAAUCCACACUGUUUAAAAUCUGCAUAAUUUUUUUAAAGACAUAGUUGUUAAUAUUCAUCAUAUAUAUAUAUAUACAGAAAUUCUUUUAUUCCAAAGUCGGAACAUUAUAUAUAUCAAUUAGUCGAUACAUUUGGACUUUAAUAUUAAAGGAUUAUAUCGUGUUUGUGUCAUCAUGUCAUGUCAUUUCGUGUUAUUAGCUAGUCAUCCCUAAUCUGAUGGGUUUAAUUAAUUGUAUUGAGUUGAGGCUGAACCCUAUUACUAAAUUCCCUUCAGCAGGGAGAUUCACUAUUAUACCCAAUAUAGGAGUCCAAAUUAUAAAAAAACAUACAUGAAAUGGACUUUAGAAACACAUUCAAAGUUCAUUUACAACAUAACAAAAAAACUUUUAACUUCUUUUAAAUUACAAAAUUGCCAUUAAUUUAUUAAAACAAACUCAACCCCAAAACCUCAUAAAAAAGCCCAAAGCACUCAAUAGGAUAUUAAAGUAAUUUAAUAAUCAAAAUUAAAUUCAAUAGGACCAGCUGUCAUUUUUUGAGUUUUUUUUUUGUUUGUUUAUAGAAAUUAAAUGGUGUAGGGUUUAUUUAUAGUUUUAGUGCUAAAAAUGAGUAUAUGACUAAAUAUCUCAAAUAUGACUAAAUACCCAAUAUGGGAGCCCAAAUUAUAGUUGUAACUCUUAUUCAUAUAUAUAUAUAUAUAUAUAUAUAUAUAUAUCCUUCUAUUGAGGGAUCCCUCAAAUAAUUUUAUUUGAAGGACGCCCUUUAGGGUACUCUACAAUUUUUUUUCCAAUGAUCCAAACCAUCUAUUUUUUAGGUCUUCAUUCAUAGAUCAUCCUUACAAAAAAUUAGACAAAUCGGAAACCGUUUCGACAUCUAAUUGUAUCAUACAAAAUCAAUUAACACGGUGCUUCAAGAAAGUACUAAAAUUUCAAUAACUCAAUUGAAUGGUCAAAUGAUAUCGGAUUCAAGUGAUUUUUUGUAGAGAUGAUCUCUGUGUGUGUAUAUAUAUAAAGAGAGCUUAUAUUGAGGAAUCCCUCAAAUAAGCUUAUUUGAGGGAUACCCCUUGUAGGCCCCACUCCGGAUUGUAUUUCACUAAUCCAAACCGUUUAUUUUGUAGAUACUCAUUCAAAGAUCAUCUCUACAAAAAAUCACUUGAAUCAGAUAUCAUUUGAUCACCCAAUUAAGUUAUUGAAAUUUUAGUAUUUUCUUAAAACACCGUGUUUAUUGAUUUUGUAAGACACAAUUAGAUGUCGAAACGGUUUCCGAUUUGUCUAAUUUUUUGUAAGGAUGAGCUAUGAAUGAAGACCUAAAAAAUAGAUGGUUUGGAUCAUUGGGAAAAAAAUGGUAGGGUACCCUAAAUGGCGUCCCUCAAAUAAAAUUAUUUGAGAGAUCCCUCAAUAGACGGGGACUAUAUAUAUAUAUAUAUUAUUUUUAAAAACAUAAAAUGUAAUGAUAUGUUUAUUUAAGGAUUAAUAGACUAGUAAUCUUUUUCAAACAGUACUAGCAAAAUGGGUUUGUAGUGUCAAAAUUUACCACCGACAAAUGGUGAGGCUCCGAUAUAUAUUUUUUUUUGGGAGUAAAAUAAUUUGCAGAGGACACUUAAAAUCUGACAUUAAAAAACAUUUAAAAUUAACAUAUUUUGGACAAAGUAUGUGAUGUUGUGAUCUGUGAGUCUGUCGAACUCAUUACCUGAGAUGACAGAUUUGAGUAGUUGAGAGCAGGACCAGGCAUUAAAGCGGUGGCAAAUACUGCAAUAUAAAUCUUCUCAGGGAAUUUCUCCAUGGCAAUGGAUAUGGCUGCCCCACCCAUGCUGUGGCCCACAAGGAUGACCCUCUCCUUUGGCGGGAGAGACUUCAUGAAUCUCAUCAAUGGCUCAACGUAAUCCGAGAGAGAAUGAAGUUGUUGAACUUGCUUUGGGUUGACCCCAGAUGCUGCUAGGUCUAGAGCUGUAACAUUAUGACCAAUUGAGGUGAGUAGAGUUGAGACCUUGUACCAGCACCAUGCCCCAUGACCAGCUCCAUGAACCAGCACAAAAUGCUUCUGGUUUGCAUCUGGGUUUGGAGAUGGGGUGCAGAUUCUGGUCAAGCUAAGAAAUAAAAGGAAAGACACCAAAUGCUUCACUCUCAUAUUCUCCAUGUUUUGUACAAACCUCGCUCUCUUUUCUUGGCCUGUGCUAUAAUGCAUUUGGUCUAGUGUUACUUUUAUAUAUCAUGAAUCCGCAUAAUCUAGAUAAAAAAAUUCAGAUGAUGUUGGCAAUCUGAAAAGUCAGUGAAUAAUUGUCAAAAUAUAUCUAGAGGUAUGCACGUGCAUUUAUUCCUCCCUCAGUGAUGUUACUUUUAUUCCUCCCUCAGUGGCAAAGUCAUACUUCUCCAAGUCCAUUUUGAAUCUUCUCUGAAAACAAAAGGACAAAUUCUUUGAUUUUGAUUAAUUUUAUCUUUCACAAAAGUUUAGACAUUAAUUUACGAAUAAGCUUGCUCAAGAUAAACGCUAUCCAUACAAAAGGCGGUGAUGAGGCUGCCAGAUUGUCCACACCCAUACUAUGCAUGCAUGUGUCACUCUUUUUGUGUAUAAUCUUUUUUUAGUCAGGCAUGUGUGUUGAAGUUUCCAUAACCGAGGAAAUGGACAAUAUAGCAGCAACAAAGAAUACUUCGACUUUUCAGCAUUUAAAUUGCAGCUAGGCUUUUCUUGCAUUUGGUUUAUACAUUUGAGAGUUUAUAAAGUUCUAUACAAGACGUCUCUAGAAUUGUAUCAAAGAAUAUAAGAGAGGAAUAUGCUUAGGUUCAUCCAUAUCAUUUGAGUCCUUUGCAUCAUGAACUGACCUUUUGUAAGGUUUUGGGUGCCUUGGGUGUCUUGAGAGGUUUGAGUGUGGUGUGAUUAAGUAAUCUUCACAAUAUACGUGUCAUUAUCUAAACCAUUCAUUUUUUAAAUCACAAUUUAAAGAUCAUAUGUGCAAAAACUCAAUCAAAUUGGAGAUGGUUUAGUUAUUUGAUGAGUUGACAACUUAUACCAACACAAUGCUCCAUCUCCAUGGCUAGCUCCAUGAACUAGCACAAAAUGCUUCAUAAAGGCAUCUAGGGUUGGAGAUGAGGUUCACAUUCUUCUCAAGCAAACAAAUAAAACGAAAUACUCAAAAUGCUCAGCUGAUCACAUAUGCUCCAAUCUUUGCUUGGCAUUUGGUAUAGUCUUAGUUUUAUUGUCAUAUGUUGGAGUGUGUAUCUCUAGCGUCCCCCUUAUUAUUGUUUUAAACGCCUAAAGCCACCUAGGAGUGGCAAGCCGGCCUUGAGUUUGUCUUAAUCCCACGUCAAGGAAUUUAUUUUUCUCUUUUUUAGAAGGAUAGGAAUUACGACCUUUAUUUAUUUUGGAAAAUGCAAGAACAUCCAUGCAAUUCUGUAUAAUUUAAGGGCUCGUUUGGUACACAGGACUGUCUUAGCAUGGACUAUGUUUAGGGACUGGUUUGGCUUGGCUUGGCUUGGUCUAAGUUGGAUAACACUUAUCCUGCGUUUGGUGUAUGCUUGGACUAUGACUAGAAUUUUUUUUUAUGUUUUCAAAAAUAUCUAUAUAUAUAUGUAUACAGUCCCCUUCUAUUGAGGGAUCCCUCAAAUAAUUUUAUUUGAGGGACGCCCCUUAGGGUACCCUACAAUUUUUUUCCCAAUGAUCCAAACCAUCUAUUUUUUAGGUCUUUAUUCAUAGAUCAUCCUUACAAAAAAUUAGACAAAUCGGAAACCAUUUCGACAUCCAAUUGUGUCUUACAAAAUCAAUGAAUACGAUGCUUCAAGAAAAUGCUAAAAUUUCAAUAGCUUAAUUGAGUGGUCAAAUAAUAUCGGAUUCAAGUGAUUUUUUGUUGAGAUGAUCUUUGAAUGAGUAUGUACAAAAUCGACGGUUUGGAUUAGUGAAAUACAAUCCGGAGUGGGGCCUACAAGGGGUGUCCCUCAAAUAAGCUUAUUUGAGGGAUCCCUCAAUGGAAGCUCUCUGUAUAUGUAUAUAUGUAUUUUAUAAUAUAUAUAAUAUAUAUGUAUAUAUACAUACAUAUAAUAUAUAUAUAUGUAUAUAUACAUGUAUAUAAGUAUAUUAUAAUAAUAUUAUAUAUUUUAAAUAAUAUAAACGUACAUACAUAUAUAUAUAAGUGUAUAUAGGUGUAUAUAUGUAUAUUAUAAUAUACAUGGGUAUAAUACAUAUACAUAUAUUUAUAUAUAUGUAUGUAUAAUAUAAUAUAUAUAAUAUAUAUGGGUAUGUUAUAAUAAUAAUAAUAAUAUACAUGUAUAUAAGUGUAUAUAUGUAUAUUAUAUAUGUAUUUAUAUAUACAUAUACAUUAUAUAUAUUAUAAAAUACAUAUGUAUAUAUAAUAUAUGUAUAUAUAUUAUAUAUUAUAAUAUACAUAUAUAUAUACGUAUAUACAUGUAUAUAAUAUAUGUGUAUAUAGGUGUAUCUAUAUAUUAUAAUAUAUACAUGGGUAUAAUACAUAUACAUAUAUAUGUAUAUUAUAAUAGAUAAUAUAUAUGGGUAUGUUAUAAUAAUAAUAUACAUGUAUAUAUGUAUAUUAUAAUAUAUAUACAUAUAGUAUAAAUAUAUAAUGUAUAUGUGUAUAUGUAUAUUAUAAUACAUACAUGGGUAUAAUAUAUAUACACAUAUAUGUAUAUAUACUUAUAUAUAUUACAUAUAUACAUGUAUGCUAUUAUUAUAAUAUUAAUAUGUAUGUGUAUAUGAGUAUAUUAUAAUAAUAAUAUACGUGUAUAUAUCUAUAUGUAUUUAUAUAUUAUAUAUGUAUAUAUGUGUUUAUAUAUAUAUGUAUAUACGUGUAUAUAUGUACAUUAAUAUAUAAUAUAAUAUAUAUUACAUAUAUACAUGUAUACAUGUAUGUAUUAUUAUAAUAUUAAUAUGUAUGUAUACAUGUAUGUAUUAUUAUAAUAUUAAUAUGUAUGUGUAUAUGAGUAUAUUAUAAUAAUAAUAUAUGUGUAUAUAUCUAUAUGUAUUUAUAUAUAUAUUAUAUAUGUAUAUAUGUAUUUAUAUAUAUACAUGUAUAUGUGUAUAUACAUGUAUAUAUGUACAUUAUAGUAUAUGUGUAUGUAAUAAUAAUAAUAAUAAUAAUAAUAAUAAUAAUAAUAAUAAUAAUAAUAAUAAUAAUAAUAAUAAUAAUAAUAUAUGUUAUUAGUAUUACAAUAUAAUAUAUGCAUCUUAUAUAUUGGUGAACAUAGGACUAGCUAAUCCUCCCUUUCUACAUGGGUUUAGUAGUCCCCUCCUAGUGAGGUAUUUUUGGUGGGCCCGGUAUCUGCAAUCCCAUCUAAGACUAGAAUUAAAUGAAACAAACAUGAUACUAAAUUUAGUCCAAUCCAGUCCAAGCCAAGCCUGUGUACCAAACGACCCCUAAUAGUACUAAGUAAGUGCCCUAAGGGUAUUUAAGUUGUUGAGGUAGCAAAUUUUCUUUAGUACCAGCGAUUGUCUAAACUACAUGGAAUGUAGUGUUUUUUACAUACACACAACUAAGAUGUCAUAGGGAGUUCAAACCUGAGACCUCUACUUAUAAGGCAAAUACAACCCUUGAAUAACAGAAAGAUGUUGACAUAUGUUGUCUGGAAGACUACCAUUCAAGUUUGUUUCCUGAUAGAGCCAGAUUUUUCAAAGAAGACAUGUUGAAGACAACAUCAGUAACAUGACCUUUUAGGACAUUGAAUUGCAUCCACAACUGCAGCUCUAUACUGCUGAUCUCGUUUGGAAUUUCUGAAAAUUCAACACAUACGUAUCAACAACAUAAUGCACAGGAAAAACAAAUUAAUGUAUCUCACACCUAUUUGGCUAUAAAUGGAGGAUUAUCUUAUAUGUUUUGGUGCAAUGUUCGAAAUUAUUAUAACGAAACCUUAAAAGUAUUAAGAUAUGAAAUCAUUGGAAAUAUAUUCUUUCCUAGCUUGUAUAUUUUCGUUGUCUGCAAGUUAGGAUUCCAGGUUAAUUACUAAAUUGUAGGAUCAAAACGUAGGGUGCCUAUAUAAAUCCUUGUAUAUAUUCAACGUUGUGAAUAUAAAAAAUAUAUCAAAUACCAUUUUUUUACGAAAACACCCUGCAGUUGCAUGUCAGCUUUGAUUUCUAGCAAAAUUACUAAAUGGAAUGCUUGCAGUGGCUGAAUGGGUUAAUGUAUGCAUUUUGAGUUUUUUGCUUUUGGCUUCCUUUGACAAUUUUGUAAUAGGACAAUCAUUGUAACACCCCGACCCCGAAUUUAAUCCUUAUUUAAUUAUUUAAUUAUUUAAGGGUAUUUUAGUCAUAUUUCUAACCGGAGAGAGUUUGGGGCAGUGACUAGUAUUUUUGGAUAGGUCGUACUGAGACGAGUUCAUAGACACGUAGUGGGCUCGAAUCGGAGUUGUAACGAGAGAGAUAUGGUCAAAAGAAGCCCAGUGGCACAAUCAUAAAUAUUUCAAAAUGGGAUUUUUUUAUAAAAACUCAGAUUUCUCUCUCUCUCUCUCUCUCUCUCUCUCUCUCUCUCUCUCUCUCUCUCUCUCUCUUUCCCGCAACCUCUCCCUCUCUCCCGUUGGCCCUCUCUCUUUCUCCUUGUAACUCCGGCCACCGGCCACGGCUGUGGACGAGGCCAGUACCAAAAUGACCGGGGCGUCGUCCUCUUCCAGCCCCAGCCGUCUCCCGCCUCCAGCCGCCGCGGUUUCGUCGAAAAAUGGAGGAGAAAUGGCCGGCGUCGUCCGAUCUUCGCCGCUGUUGAUCUCCCUCCUCCGGCCACCAAAUCCGACGAGCAAGAUAUGGUUUCUCACCUACUUUUCAUGCUCUAGCUGCCUGUUGGCUGGGUUUUGAUCGAUUCGACCUCUAGAUCACUCGAUUUUCGAAUUGAAAAUCGGCCAAACUUCGGCCGCCGUGAUCGGCCAUUUCCGGCCACUUUUUGGGGUAGGUCCAAGAACAAAAGUGGCUCCAAAUAGGGUGUUAUACCUAGGGUAGGAGUUUGGAGCCGUGGUUUUGAGAUUUUCCGGCGAAGCGUUAUCGCUUUGGGCACCCACGCGCUGCCGGCGCGUGCGGCGGCGCGUGGGCACUGUAGAAAAGUAGCACUGUGUUCCGAUGAGAUCCUUAGGUUGUCACGAGUGCGUAGGAUUUCGCGGAUCUCAAUUCGGACGUCGUUCGACUAUCGAACGGAUAUUCGCAUAUUAUGCGUUAUCCGGGUUCGAUAGGUUGGGACCGUUGGAUGGUUCCAAAUUUAAUAUAUGUUAAUCUAGGUAAUUCUAGGAUCGUGUAGGAAUUCACAGAUCGUGAAUCGGAGCCUCGGAUAUUCCGAAUAAUGAUUUUAAAAUUUAUAUUUUAUAUUAAUUGUCAGAUCGUGCGAUCGUGAACAAUCCGACCGUCCGAUCUGAACCAAACUCGCAGGACAAGUGUCCUAUACCUGAUAGAACCCAUAGGGACUUCCGGAUCGGAAAUUGGAGGUCGUGGGUUCCGCAGGUCCGUUUGACCAGAGUUAGAGUAGUUUGAUCCUUGGUUGACCGUGAGCCACCCGGAGUAAUCUCACCUCUCCAGGGGAGAUUAUCGGGUGCUAGACUAUUGUGGAGGGUUACACAAUAUUAGAAUUAAUUUAUAUAACUAUAAUUAUAUAUGGUUGUAAAAGGGUGCAACAGAGCCUAGAAUGUCAGUUUGGAGUGCUAUACGCACUACUUUAGGUACCUCUCCGGAUUUUGGAUUUACUACAAGUACCACCAAGUGAAAUUUAGGUCCCACGUGGCGUAGGUUAUCCGACGUGCGGACAGGCCCCAUACGUGGCGUUGGUUGUACCGGCGUAUAGGGAGAUUUGUGAUAUUAUGUUCAGGUCUCACGUGGCGUAGGUUAUCCGGCGUUGAGACAGGCCCCAUACGUGGCGUUGGUUGUACCGGCGUAUGGGGAGCUAUGUGAUAUUGUGUUGAGGUCGCACAUGGCGUAGGUUAUCCGGCGUGUCGAUAGACCUCAUACGUGGCGUUGGUUGUACCGGCGUAUGUGGAGAUUUGUGAUAUGAUGUGCAGGUCUCGCUUGGUGUAAGUUAUCCGGCGUUGAGACAGACCCCAUACGUGGCGUUGGUUGUACCGGCGUAUGGGGGGAUAUUAUGAUAAUAUGACAUGGUCGCACGUGGCGUAGGUUAUUCGGCGUGUUGACAGGCCCCAUACGUGGCGUUGGUUGUACCGGCGUAUGGAGAGAUUAUAUGAAAUACAGAGAAAUGAAAUAAGGUAUCGCCUAAGUGUGGAAUUGGGUUUUAAGGAAGAACUACGUGUGGCUUGAUCCCUCAAGGAGGGUACGUAGGCAGCCUAAGGUUAUUGGGUGCAGCCACAGACUAAAUGUUAGUCAUAGUUGGUAUUUGAAUUGUUUGGUAGUUGGUUAAGAAUUAUUGGAAGGCCGAAGGCCAUUUGUGUGAAUUGCAUGAAAUUAUAUUGUGCAUGCUACCAGUUGGGAAUAUUAAAUGCGUUUUCAUGCAGGUAUAAAUUUUGAGAAAUGUUCAAUUUAUAGGGGAGACUCUGCCGAAAUUUCGGCAGGAAGUCUCGGUUUUUAGUAAGUGGGCCUGGCCUCGGGGUGAUGUCAGGAAUUCCAAAGGGUUCGCCUCGAGUAUUGAGAAAAUUCGGGGCGGGUCCUUUCAAUCAUUGUAGUUUCCCAAGCUCUAAGUUUAGAUUAAGAAUUACUUCUCUAGGUGUUCUUAUCUGCCUACAUUCUGAUGGAAAAAAUGCGUUUGACAAAGGUAAAUUCUGCAUUACACUACAUUGCAUUCACUAAAUUUCUUAAGAUUAUGACUAGUCAUCUUUCCUUCGUAUGACUAGUCAUCUUGCAUUCGUAUGACUAGUCAUCUUUCCUUCGUAUGACUAGUCAAUCUUUGUUUCAAUUAGGAUUUCCAGCUGGGGCUUAAGCAUUUUUUUGUCCUUUUCUACGAAUUUUUCAGCUGCUAUGUGUCGAUUCUGACCUAGGAAUUUUUGGUAACAGCCAAAGAAUUCCUCAUUUGGCAGCCGUCACUUUUGGGGACAAGUUUUGGAAAGUUUCAUAGCAAACUUUCGCUUCUUCUUCCUCAAGAGUAACCUUCAUAUUUUUCAUCUUUGAGUUUUCCAAAUUGUUUCUUUUUGAAAACUGCAUUUGAAAUAUGAAAACUUCAUCUUGCUAGAUCAAACACUCUAUCAUAUACAUCUAGGUCAGAUUCAAGAUUGAUUUCUUCAAGAGUAUGAUUUCUUGAAUAAAUUGGUCAUUUUCUCCAUGAAUCCAAAUUUCAUUUCUAUCUGAGUUAGAACUUGCAAGCUAGUGCCAUGGGAUGAAAGAGCUGGAGAAGGAGCUGUCAUUGCCAUGAAGAACUGAGCUUCAAGCUUUGCUAAGUUGGAGAAGAAGAUUGCACAAAGGAGGUAUAGCUCAUUUUCCUAAAUAGACCUAGGAAUUUCUUGAGCUUGCUAGUGUUCUUUGUAAGAAUCUUUUUGCUUAGUGGAUUGCCUGGUCGGUUGAUGACCCCCAGUUUUUCCCAAUGGUGGGUUUCUGGGUGAACAAUUUCUGGUUUCCAUCUCUGUAAAUUUUCUGGGUUUGUGUUCUUGAUAGUUGACUAGUCAUCUGAAUUUGUGCGGUUGACUAGUCAUCUUUUUCUGCUGUUUGGUGUUUGCUUGAUUAUGUUGUCUUCACACACUUUCACCAUAGUUGUUGCUAGCACAGGGGAUGCCUAGAUUGAUGGGUCCUUCUGAGUGCCUAGGUUAUCACUAGUAAUUCUCUAGGCCUGCAGGUACAUCUUGGUAUGCUCUGUGUAUGUUAUUGUUUGGUAUAAUUCGUAUCUAACAGUUGACUAGUCAUAAGAGUAUUUGGUCAAGGUCUAGAGUGUGUGAAGGUUGUUGCGUUUUUGAUUGAAUAUCUUUUAAAUUUAUCCCACCUAAGUACCAAUUUCAGAAUGGAGGAAAGAAAAUGGUCUGGUGGUUACUGCAUGGGGUUGAUGGCUGCUGGGAUGUUUGUAGCAGCCGAGUGAGGGAGUGUUGGCUGAAGAAAAAUUGGUGUCUUUUGCUUGAGCCAUGAAUGCCAAUUUAUAGAGGGUGAGGGUUUUUCUUUAUUUCCAAUAGGUAAAGGGAGGUGUUGGAACCAGCCCAUUCCAGUGGUUAAAAGGGAGCACUAAGGCAUGCUAUUUUCCAGCAGGUAAAGCUAGGUACCAUAAACUGAUCAUUUCCUAUGGGUAAAAGGAAGCACUAGAAACUGCUUGUUACCAGUGGAUAAUAGGAAGUACUGGAAAAAGUUUGUUUCCAACGGGUAAAACUAAGUAGUUGGAAAAUGACUAUUUCCUAUGGGUAAAAUGAAGUGCUUGAAAAAUAUCUCAUUUACUCACCUACAUUGGAGAACUCUAAGUAAUGGGCUUGGACUUUGGUGCUCCCAAGUAGCUAGCCCAAAGUCUCCAUUAUCCAAGAGUUUCCGUGGGCCUUGUGGACCUCUGUAACCUUCCACACCACAAUUCCUCAUGCAAGCCCCGUAAACCACAUAACUUGGGUUCAUGUGAGGUUGAUAGGUGAUUAGCACGGGAAAAAUGUAUUAUUAGUUUGGCAUGGCAUGUACACUAUUUCUAUAUUUAUUUGAGGUUCAUGUGAGGUUGAUAGGUGAUUAGCACGGAAAAAAUGUAUUAAUGAAUUAAAUCCCAAAAUACAGCUCGAAUUAAUGCAUGACUGAAAUUAUAUGUUAUAUUAGGCUUUAAAUGUCUUUGGGCCUCAACACAAUCUUAAUUAAGUGAGUCAACCCAGUUGAAACUUGAUAAUAUAUUAUAUGAAGAAUAAGAGAAUAAGUAGUACAAAUCUAGAGAAAUUGGUGAAAAUGACUCUUAAAUUUGAAGGGCUUGUGUAAAAAAUAAUAAUAUGUAUACUAAAUUUUUAGAAAAUUGAUCUAAAACAUGGAAAAAAAUAUGUAAACUUGAAGAGAAAACCCUAGAAAUAUUAGAAGUAUCAUAAAAGAUAUUAAUAAAUAAUAAUUUUUAAUAUAAAAACGAGGGGGUGCCGGGAUGCUCCCGAAUUAGUAGCUCCGCCCCUGUAUAUACCAAAAGUGCUACGAUCCUAGUCAUAAGAAUUUUUGUUGGAGUUGUAUGUGGCUCGAUACAAGUAUGGAUGUGGAAGUGACUAUAUGGACUCACAUCGAAUAAGUACCAAAUUAAUCUACAUCUUAAAAGUCAUCAAAUUUCUUUAUUUAAAACAUCACACUUAGAGAUCAUUGAGCCUUAUGAUCUACGGAAUUAAAUUUGUCAUAUAGAUUACAUUUUAUUUUCUAAAAGUUUAUUCAUAAAUGGCUGCAUUUUUUAUGAAAGUCUAACUCUCAGCAACCUCCUUGAGGUAGGAGAACAGCUCAAGCGGUCUAGAGAACAUCACCAUGUGAUCAGAACCAUUGAUCAAUUUGACUUCAUUCGGC